rnacentral:rRNA from 1 species
AAGUUCGACAUGCCACGCCGUCUGGUGAAUGGCUAGGCUUGAGCGCUGAAGAAGGGCGCGGCAAGCAGCGAAACGCCUCGGGUAAGCGCACGCAGCUGUAGAACCGAGGAUGCCCAAAUGAGACUUCUCGUCGCGGCUCCUUCGGGACCCGUGACACUCCAGCAAUGGAGGGGGAACCUCCUGAACUGAAGCAUCAUAGUAAGGGGAGGAAAAGAAACUAACCAAGAUUCCCUUAGUAGCAGCGAGCGAAAUGGGAAAAGUCCAAACCGAAUCUUGUAAGGAAACUUAUGAGAGAUGUAGGGUUAUGGGUCCGGCUAUAUCUUCACUGGCAAAGCUAAAGUGGUCUGGAACGACCCGCCAUAGAGGGUGAAAGCCCCGUAAGCGUAAACCGGAAAGACGAAGGCUGGAAUCCCAGAGUACCAUACCCUGGCUUGGGUGUGGAAAAUUGGGAGUCACCAACUUCCAAGACUAAACACGUCUCAAGACCGAUAGCGCACUAGUAUGGUGACAGAAAGUUGAAAAGUAUCCCGGAAGGGAGCUGAAAAGAGUCUGAAACCAGGCGGUUAAAGACGUAUGCAGCCCGGAAGGAUAGAUCCCAUUCGAAGGAAACCGCAGCAAUGCGGCAGUACGGGAAUGGGGGACUAGGGUUGCAUGUUCCGUCUAGAAACACGGGCCGGGGAGUUCAUGGCUAUGGCAAGCUUAAAGGUCAAAAGCCUGAACGCACAGGGAAACCAACAAGCGCACAACCAGUCUUUGGCUGGUGAGGCGCGGCGUCUUAAAGGGCGCGGAGUCAUAGCUUUGAUGACUAGAAACCGGGCGAUCUAGCCCUGGGCAGGGUGAAGCCAGACGAAAGUCUGGUGGAGGCCCGAAGGGGUACUAACGUGCAAUUUGUUCCUCUGACCUGGGGUUAGGGGCGAAAGACCAAUCUAGCCCGGUGAUAGCUAGUUCCCUCCGAAGUGGGUCGCAGCCCAGCCCCGAGUGAGGCAGCCGACAGGGUAGAGCACUGAUUAGGAAGUGAGGAGCCGAAAGGUUCCGCUUCGUUUUCAAACUCCGAAUCUAUCGGCACUGCAGACCUCGGGAGACGGGUUAUGGUGGGGUAAGCCCCCAUGCCGAAAGGGGAACAACCCAGACUAAGGUUAAGGUCCCUAAGUGCUGGCUAAGUGCUAAACUGAAAGGCGUCAUCAGCCUAAAACAGCGGGGAGGUAGGCUCAGAAGCAGCCAUCCUUUAAAGAAAGCGUAACAGCUCACCCGCCGAGGCUGAUGGCCCUGAAAAUGGACGGGGCUAAGCCAGCUGCCGAUACCUUAGAGCACGGUGAAAGCCGUGAUCUGGUAGGAGGGCGUCCUGGCUGGGUAGAAGCCGGGUUGUGAAAUCCGGUGGACCGGUUCAGGAUUGUGAAUCCCGGUGGUAGUAACAGCAAAGAGGGGUGAGAACCCCCUCCGCCGAAAGGGCAAGGGUUCCCCGGCAACGCGCCGUCAGCCGGGGGUAAGUCGAUCCUAAGGCAGAUCUUAACUGAUUAUGCCGAAAGGGAAGCCGGUUAAAAUUCCUGCACCACGAAGGUACACGCGGUGACGCAAGCUCAACGUCUGACGCUUCGAGGUAGGCUGAGCAAGGUUGUCGCCUUGUUUAACCGUAUAAGUUUGGGGAGUGCCGUAAUGGUGAGAACCAGAUGAAAGCGGGAAUAGCUGCCCGUUUUUAGGGCGGUUCAGCUGAUUUUUGGAGCCCUUGAAAAGGAUGUUGAGAAGGAUCCUUCGUGUCCGUACCCAGAACCAACACAGGUGUCCCUAGGCGAGAAACCUAAGGCGUGUCGGGUGUACACUGAGCGAGGGAAAUCGGCAAAUUAGCCCCGUACCUUUGGUAUAAGGGGUGCCUGUGGUUUUGGCUUCGGCUGGAACCGCAGGUCGCAGUAGCAAGGGGGUUUCGACUGUUUAAUAAAAACAUAGGAAGCCGCAAGCCCGAAAGGGUGUGAAUGGCUUCUGAAUCCUGUCCAGUACAGGUACCUAAAACCUGGGUCCAACCGGGCUAAGGGCCUGCAAACGACGGGAGUAACUCUGACUCUCUUAAGGUAGCCAAAUGCCUUGUCGGGUAAGUUCCGACGCGCAUGAAUGGAUCAACGAGAACCCCGCUGUCCCCGCUUGGUACCCGGUGAACCCACGUAAAGUGGACGAACAGUCCACUGACUCCCAGCGGGAAAAGAAGACCCCGUGGAGUUUUACUGCAGCCUGUCGCUGGGAUUUGGCUGUGUUUGCAGAGCGUAGUCGGGAGCCGCUUGAUCCCAGUUCCUCCGGGGACUGGAGUAGGCGCCAAUGGAACACCGACCUUUUACAACCAUGUCUCUUACCGGCGCGUACGCGUUGGGACAACGGUAGGUGGGCAGUUCGGCUGGGGCGGCACCCCCUCGAAAAAAUAUCAAGGGGGCCCAAAGAUCGGCUCAGGCGGGACAGAAACCCGCUGUAGAGUGCAAAGGCAAAAGCUGGUCUGACUGAAUCCUCCACAGUAAGGGAUUCAGAGGCGAAAGCCGGGCUUAGCGAUCCUCUAUGUCCUCCUUGGUGGGGGCUAGAGGCGACAGAAAAAUUACCCCGGGGGUAACAGGCUUGUCGCGGGCGAGAGUCCCCAUCGACCCCGCGGCUUGGUACCUCGAUGUCGGCUCUUCCUAUCCUGGCCCUGCAUAAGGGGCCAAGGGUGAGGCUGCUC